rnacentral:rRNA from 1 species
UUCAAACGACGGAUGGAUGUUUCUGAAAGGAGGCAGUCCUACGGGACAUCCGUCGAGGUGCUGCAUGGUUGUCGUCAGCUCGUGCCGUGAGGUGUCGGCUUAAGUGCCAUAACGAGCGCAACCCCCAUCGCCAGUUACCAGCAAGUAAAGUUGGGGACUCUGGCGAGACUGCCGGCGCAAGUUGUGAGGAAGGCGGGGAUGACGUCAAAUCAGCACGGCCCUUACGUCCGGGGCGACACACGUGUUACAAUGGCAGGUACAGAGAGAAGCGAUGCGGCGACGCAGAGCGGAACUUCAAAGCCUGUCUCAGUUCGGAUUGGAGUCUGCAACCCGACUCCAUGAAGCUGGAUUCGCUAGUAAUCGCGCAUCAGCCACGGCGCGGUGAAUACGUUCCCGGGCCUUGUACACACCGCCCGUCAAGCCAUGGAAGCCGGGAGUGCCUGAAGUGUGCAACCGCAAGGAGCGCCCUAAGGUAAAACCGGUGACUGGGGCUAAGUCGUAACAAGGUAGCCGU